UACGUAGGGUGCGAGCGUUAAUCGGAAUUACUGGGCGUAAAGCGUGCGCAGGCGGUUCGUUGUGUCGGCGGUGAAAUCCCCGGGCUCAACCUGGGAAUGGCCGUUGAAACUGGCGGACUGGAGUGUGGCAGAGGGGGGUGGAAUUCCUGGUGUAGCGGUGAAAUGCGCAGAUAUCAGGAGGAACACCGAUGGCGAAGGCAGGUCUCUGGGCCACUACUGACGCUGAGAAGCGAAAGCAUGGGGAGCGAACAGG
rnacentral:rRNA from 1 species